rnacentral:rRNA from 1 species
UACGUAGGUGGCAAGCGUUGUCCGGAUUUAUUGGGUUUAAAGGGUGCGUAGGCGGUCUUAUAAGUCAGUGGUGAAAUCUUGUCGCUUAACGACAAACGUGCCAUUGAUACUGUAGGACUUGAGUACAGAUGCCGUUGGCGGAAUGUGUCAUGUAGCGGUGAAAUGCAUAGAUAUGACACAGAACACCGAUUGCGAAGGCAGCUGACGAAACUGUAACUGACGCUGAUGCACGAAAGCGUGGGGAUCAAACAGG